UCUGUGCUCCUUGCGUUCACUGCGGGCUUCCAUGUGCCAACUUUUCAAAAUUCAUAAGGCACGCGGUGAAUGCCAAGAGCGGACCA
rnacentral:pre_miRNA from 14 species